UAACAUAGUGUAAAAGAUGAUGAUGAUGAUGAUGAUGCAUGGAAGGACAUUUAUGAGCCAUUACACUGAGACUCAUAGAAGACCCUUGGCAUCUCAUCCCCUUUACCAUGUUUUACACUAUGUUAUUUGUGUUUAUUAUAAAA